UACGUAGGUGGCAAGCGUUGUCCGGAUUUACUGGGCGUAAAGAGCGCGCAGGCGGUCGUUCAAGUCGCGUGUGAAAGCCCCCCGGCUCAACUGGGGAGGGUCACGCGAUACUGAUCGACUCGAAGGCAGGAGAGGGUAGUGGAAUUCCCGGUGUAGUGGUGAAAUGCGUAGAUAUCGGGAGGAACACCAGUGGCGAAGGCGGGUCUCUGGGCCGAUACUGACGCUGGAGGAGCGAAAGCGUGGGGAGCGAACAGG
rnacentral:rRNA from 1 species